CGUAAUGAGCGUCAAGAUGGCGCCAUAUUGGUGUAAAGGUGGUAUAUUGUGAUUGUCAUAUCUUCUUAACGAGUUCGGUGACCCCAACUUUUUUGUGUGAUUUUACUUUAAGUAUGUCAUAAACUCCAUGCCUGGGAAGUUUCAGCACAUUCUCAUUUCAGGAACAAUUACUGCGGAAUUACCUUAAGAGGCAAUUUUUUUCAAUGUCACAUAUUUGCAAUGAAAAGUGUUCAAAACCUAAAAUCUUUUUGGCGUUCCUCUCAAAAUUACUUUGUUUUAGCUUUAUUCUCUAGUUUAUAGAGUUAGCUACCUUUUUAAAUGCAUCUGCCGGUUGAGAAACAUAAAAUAAUAAUCAAUUAAGAUACAAUUAUCACCAUAUAGGCAAAACUUACUGAACUUCAGACAUAAUUUUCUCUUUGGCGUAUCAUCUAAAAUCUCUUCAUUUUAGCAUUAUUUUACAGAUAAAGCACUAAACAUACUUUUUAAGUUUGUUUGCCGAUUGAGA